rnacentral:misc_RNA from 1 species
GUGAAUCAUCAAAUUUUUGAACGCAAAUUGCACUCUCUUGGGAUAGUUGGACUGUGUGAGUUUCAGCCUAAAAAAAUUCUAAGAAUUCGCUGUUUCGCGAUGACAUUCGGCUUGAAUUGGGUCAUCUUGAACCUUUGGGUUUUUUAAUCGGCUUUAAUUUUUCUUUACGAUUCCACGAACGUUUCUAAGAUUUUACUUCUUACACACGUUUAAUUUAUCGCUCUUGAUUAUAUGUAGCCGUUGCACCGGAUCUCGUCCAUA